rnacentral:rRNA from 1 species
GACGAACGCUGGCGGCGUGCUUAACACAUGCAAGUCGAACGGAAAGGCCCUGCUUUUGUGGGGUGCUCGAGUGGCGAACGGGUGAGUAACACGUGAGUAACCUGCCCUUGACUUUGGGAUAACUUCAGGAAACUGGGGCUAAUACCGGAUAGGAGCUCCUGCUGCAUGGUGGGGGUUGGAAAGUUUCGGCGGUUGGGGAUGGACACGCGGCUUAUCAGCUUGUUGGUGGGGUAGUGGCUUACCAAGGCUUUGACGGGUAGCCGGCCUGGGAGGGUGACCGGCCACAUUGGGACUGAGAUACGGCCCAGACUCCUACGGGGGGCAGCAGUGGGGAAUAGUGCACGAUGGGCGGAGGCCUGAUGCAGCAACGCCGCGUGCGGGAUGACGGCCUUCGGGUUGUAAACCGCGUUCGCCUGUGACGAAGCGUGAGUGACGGUAAUGGGUAAAGAAGCACCGGCUAACUACGUG